GCGCUCUUUUUGUGAACCUUUUUUUAAUGUAUUAGUUUAUUUAACAAAUAAUUUGUUUAAAAAGAAAAAAAAAACCUACAGCAAGGCUUCAGGCGUUUUAUCGGGACCGACCACUUAGCAAUAGCAGUUUCUGCACUUGAUUGACGGUGUUUAAUGGGAAACUUGAGUGUUUGUUCAAGCUCUUGAACGUUUGCAGGGUUCUUUUCCCCAGUGGCAGAUUUCAGCUCACCCCAAAGAUUUUCGAUCGGAUUGAGAUCAGGACUCGUUGCUGGCCAUUUUUAAACAGUCCAUUUUUUCCUUUUCAACCAUUCCUGCGUGCUUUUGGAUGUGUGCUUUGGGUCUUUGUCUUGCUGGAGGACCCAUGAUCUUCGACUCAAACCAAGUUUUCUUACACUGGGUAGGACAUUUCGCUCUAAAAUCUCUUGAUAAUUCUCUGAUUUCAUGAUUCCUGUGAUACGGUCAAGGCCUCCAGUACCAGAUGCAGCCCCACGGCAUUAUGGAUCCUCCACCAUGCUGAACUGUUGGUAGGGUGUUCUUUUCCUUGUAGGCUUCAUUGCGCCGUCUGUAAACAAACUGUUGGUGUGCAUUGACAAAAAGCUCUAUUUUUGUUUCAUCUGUCCACAGAACAUUUUCCCAGAAGGAUUGCGGUUUGUCCAGGUACUCUUUGGCAAAGAUCAGUCAUUCCUUUUUAUGUCUUUUCCUCAGCAAUGGUGUCUUCCUUGGCCUUCGCCCAUAAAGCCCUGUUUGGUUUCGUGUGCAGCGUAUGGCACUUGUUGAAAUCAUGACCCCAGACUCUUCCAGGUUGGCCUUCAGGUCUUUGGAUGUUUGACGUGGUGUUUUUUCAGGGAAUAAAGGUGGCUUUUUAAAAACACGGAAGUCAUCAUUCAUUGGCUAAUUCAUGUCACAUAGGCACAGACAAUUUAUCACAGGUGAUUCUCAUUUGUGAUUUAUCACAGGUGUCAUAAUGUGUUUCCAUACUGAUUUACAGCAAAGGGUGCCAAUAUCAGUGACACAGCAAGCUUUAAGUUUUUCUAUUUUUUCCCCUCAUUGGUUGUUUUUAAAUUGUUGUUUAUCAUUUGCUCUUUUGUAUCAAACACGAGUUCUCUAUAGAAAAAAGUUGUUUCACUUGAUUCAUUUUUUUCAGGAGAUAUUCCACAUUAUGUACUUAAAAUUCAUGGGUGCCAAUAAUGGUGAGCAGGACUGUACGUAACUCCAUGUUACUCCAGGAGUAUAGUCUAUAUGCAACUGCAUUAUUACCAGAGUAUAGUCUAUAUGUAACUGCAUUAUUACCAGAGUAUAGUCUAUAUGUAACUGUGUUAUUACCAGAGUAUUGUCUAUAUGUAACUUUGCGCUACUACAGGAGCAUAGUCCAUAUGUUGCUCUCCGUUACUAUAGGAGUAUAGUCUAUAUAUAACUAUGUUGCUAUGGGAGUAUAGUCGUGUGUGUGUGUGUGUGUGUAUAUAUGUGUAUAUAUAUAUAUAUAUAUAUAUAUAUAUAAUAACUGCGUAGUCUGUAUGAAAC